rnacentral:rRNA from 1 species
UACGGAGGGUGCAAGCGUUGUUCGGAAUUACUGGGCGUAAAGGGCGCGUAGGCGGUCUGUUAAGUUCGGGGUGAAAGCCCCCGGCUCACCUGGGGAACUGCGCCGGAAACCGACAGACUCGAGUACCGGAGAGGAGGGUGGAAUUCCUGGUGUAGCGGUGAAAUGCGUAGAUAUCAGGAGGAACACCGGUGGCGAAGGCGGCCCUCUGGACGGAUACUGACGCUGAGGCGCGAAAGCGUGGGGAUCAAACAGG